rnacentral:lncRNA from 12 species
CAAGUUCCCGAGGGCUGUGCGGGCGAACUGGCCUGGGAGCCCCAAAAGUGGGAGGGGCAAGGCCGUCCCCCGCCUUCCCUGCUCCGUGGGUGCCCCCUGGGCCGGCCGUUUCCACAUCUCCCGGGCUGCCACGGCCUGGGACCGAGCCGGGCGCGCACCGGCGCCCGCGCCGCCCCGAAGCCCGACUGCCACAGCCCGGCCCGCCGGCCCAGAGCCGCGCGGCCGCUCCGACCCGCCGGCCAGGCCGGUCCUCGCCCCCAGGCCCCGGCCCCGCCCGCUCGGGCCUCCGCGCGCCGCCCCCCGGCUCGCCACCACCCUCGGGCAGGGGGCAGGGGGCAGGGGGCCGGGGGCACCGGGGCUCCGGGCCGCGCGGCGGCGUCCCCGCGCCUACCUCAGCGACCGCGGCUCCUCCUCCCGGGGCUGCCUCAGCUGGCGGACGGCGCUCGCCUACCGGACUCGCAGCGGCGCGGGAUCUGGGCUGCGGGCGCGGCGUGUGAGGAGCCGAGGCCCGAGCGCGCCCCGUCCAGCCGCCCGCCCGACCGCCCGUCAGUCACCUCCUCCCCCUGGCGCCCGCCCGCCAGGCCCCGCCCCGCCCCGCCCGCCCGUCAGGCCCCGCCCCGCCCCGCCCGCCCGCCAGGCCCCGCCCACCCCGCCCGCCAGGCCCCGCCCACCCCGCCGGCCCGAGCCGGGAAGGGGGCCGCCGAGGGGCGCCGCGAGAGCCGCAGGGUCUGCCUCCCGUGGGGGCCUUCGAUACCCGGCGGGGCCCCCACUAGGGACGUGAUUCGUGGUGCUUGCUGCGAAGUCUCUUCGCUCGGGUUUGUCGUUACUGCGAUUUUCCUGCCGUUAUCAUUUUGUGAUCGUUGUUAUUGGCCCCGUCAUUGGUUCUUUCACCCUCCCGGAGCCCGCAGCAGCAUUCGGUGGAGGCGGGAGAUGGCGGACACGCAGCCCCUUCCUGCAGACCCGACUCUCCUGGUCGCCCGGGACUCCCAGGGGCCCGCACCUGUGCCACUGCCUUGUGAAGUCGACCAGUUGGGAGUGAAAAAGAAGAUACGUCCUGCCCAGGGAGCUCUCAGUCAAAAGAAAAAGGAAGCCCUCAGCCCAAGUGGGCUGCAGCCUGAUACUCCGUUGGCUGGUCCUGUUGGAAUGGGGUAAGCGCUGACAGGCGAUACCCACCUUUUGGGUGUCAGGACUGAAGACCAAGAGCCUUGCCAUGAACAUGAAAAUGACAGCUCCCAUGGGAAUGGGUGGUGCCCCUCUCUGUUGAGAUGAUUGACAGACAAUCCUUCACUUACCUCUUCACCAUCCUCCAGGAAUUUUUAUAAACAAAACUUAUGGUUGGAUGACUGUUUAGAUCCAGGACAUGCCGUCUCCCUGAAAAGGUGAGAUGCCUGGUGAUAUUUAAGAUAAUACACCAUUGUCUGUCUGUUAGAGUAAAGAAGGCUGACAGAAGAAGAAAUCAAGUGUGGGGAUUCAUUCAGUAGACAACAGAGGAGUUGAAAGUGCAUAUAAAAGAAUUAAGAUGGUGACCCAUGGAAGCCAUGGAGGAAGGAGAAGUAGGUGAGGAUACAAGCAGAGAGAGGACAAAUAUUUGGAAAUAUUUGACCCAAUAAUUUUAGGAAUAUCUGGGUUAUGGGCAUAGAGAAGUUUAAGAAGUAAGGCAAGUGGAUGGAAGGAAAGGUAGAGUGGGGUGAAAUGAAUGCUCUCCUUGAAGGAGCCAAGGUUAAGAUCAUUGUUGGGAAUAAAAGCAAGGGCAAUGGUAUUCCUGUGGAAGCU